AGCGGCGGACGGGUGAGUAACACGUGGGCAACCUGCCCUGGAGCGGGGGAUAACAUUUGGAAACAGAUGCUAAUACCGUAUAACAACAAAAACCGCAUGGUUUUUGUUUGAAAGGUGGCUUCGGCUAUCACUUCUGGAUGGUUCCGCGGCGCAUUAGCUAGUUGGUGAGGUAAAGGCUUACCAAGGCGAUGAUGCAUAGCCGAGUUGAGAGACUGAUCGGCCACAAUGGAACUGAGACACGGUCCAUACUCC
rnacentral:rRNA from 1 species